UUGCUGAGCUAAGUAGAGAUCUCUUUUAUUAUGGUCUUCAUUCCAUCAUUAUUAAACC
rnacentral:lncRNA from 10 species